GGUGAAAAGAGCCUGGUCAUAGGGAUCCUCUUCCCAUGUGCCUGAGCUCUGGAGAAUGAAUCAAGGUCAGAGAAGAUCUUUAGGAGGGGCAGAGGCAGUUCUUCCAUGGUGGGUCAGGAUUGUGAGUGUCCAACAGGAAAAAAGAGGCUUCAAAUAGCACAGCACCUCCUGUCAAGGAUUCCUGGUGAUUCUCUGCGUACAGAGAAGCAGAAAAUCAAGAGGCUGAGUCUAGAAGGAGCAUGUGUAAUAACCAGAAGCAGGAGACUCAGGAGGAGCUAGGAUCCUCUCUUUUAUAUCAACACACUUUAGUGGAAACUACAUUCUUACCAGACUUGACCCACUUCAGUGAAAGAGUCACCCAUUCAUGAUUGUAAAGCCUCAUAACCUAAUUAUCUGCCACCUCAAUACCACCAUUCUGGACAGUAAAACUCUAGCACAUGAAUAUCUGGGGAAGAAAACCACAUCCAAACAUUAGCACUUGGAGAGGAGGAAUCAAUUCUAUUUGCAACUUUUUUGCUUUCAAUAG
rnacentral:lncRNA from 1 species